UUGCUAACCUGGUGUAGAGAUACCGUGAUCAUGCAGGUGGUUCCCCCAGGGUGAGGCUGCUCCAUUGCACUGCGGAGUGGUUGAUGGUUGACUUAUGACUUCUUAUUUUAAUAAGCUUCGCUUCUACCGUGUGUGACUUGCACACACACACACAUUUUUUUUAAAACCAACAACGUUUUUGUUACUUGCAU
rnacentral:snRNA from 9 species